GGCGCGGCUAGGCUGGGGGAGUAGUCCUACCUUGUAACCACAAAUGGGCUUUAUGGUGGAGCUGAGUGCCGGUGAGAGAUUGGCGUUUUUGUAGCCGUCUUGAAAUUUGGUGUCGAAGCCUCGUCCCUCGGGAUUGGCGUUCCUGCCAAACGGGUCAGGUCCGGAAGGAAGCAGCCCUAACAGGUUCUGUUAAUGCUCGCGGGGUCGCGGGGUGGAGCCUUUUUUCAAGGCUAGCGGCCGCAUGGAUGUCAGGCGAUUUCCGGAUGCCGUGCC
rnacentral:SRP_RNA from 1 species